AGCAUGGGAGACAGCUGGGGACCUGGUGCUUGAAGAGGAGGAGAAGCCGGCCAUGUGUCUAUCUGGGGGCACUCCAGGCAGUAGACACCACUUGUGCAAAGGCCCUGAGCCCAGGGGAAGACGGCCUGGAGGGGAAGAUGGGCAGGGGAAGGAAGCUGCGGACAGGCCCCUUCCUGUUCUGGCACAAGGAAACUGGAAGGAGCCUGGCCCAGGUGUGACCUUUGGACCGCAGGAGAACAGCUGAUGCCAGGAGCCCUGAGGGGGGCAGCCAAGGCAGGAGGACUCCGGGGUACCCCUCAACAGCCCCCUGGCACAUGGCUGUGGAAGGUGGCAGCUGAUCCCGGGGCCGGGGGCCAGAGGAAACCGGCUGGAAACUACCUCUGGACAGUGUCCACUCCUGAGCCUAAGCCUCUCCGGGAAUGGGGCCCUGGGGGAGGGCUGGCCAGGGAGGCUUAUCUCUGCAAAUGAAGCUGAAGGUUAGGCUUCCCGGGGAGGAGAGGGGCCUGGGGUUGCCUGCAGCUGGUGGGGCGGAUUUUGAGCUGGAAUAGGCUUGCCGGCCCAGGGAAAGGAACACGCAAAGGGCGGAGGCCUGGAAUGACGAGGCUGUCCCACUAACUCAUCUCCCUGACUCAGGCUGGGCCCUGUUGGCCUCUGCAGCCUUCCUGCCCCUGUCACUCCUCAGGAAGGCCUGCCCUGACUACCCUCGAAGAGAUUCCCUGGUCACCUUCAGCCACACCGCCACUUUGCUCUCAACUGACAUCCUUUUUCAUCUCCCCUACCUUCAGCUCGGUAACCAUCCGCCUCCCUGCCCGCGGGGUGAGCUGAGUGGGAGGGGCUCGCGAUCCAUAAUAUUUUACUAUAUUAUUUAUUUAUUUGGCUGCCCCGCGCGGC